UGGGGAAUCUUGGACAAUGGGCGCAAGCCUGAUCCAGCCAUGCCGCGUGAGUGACGAAGGUCUUCGGAUUGUAAAGCUCUUUUGGCGGGGACGAUAAUGACGGUACCCGCAGAAUAAGCCCCGGCUAACUUCGUGCCAGCAGCCGCGGUAAUACGAAGGGGGCUAGCGUUGUUCGGAAUUACUGGGCGUAAAGCGCACGUAGGCGGAUCUAUAAGUCAGGGGUGAAAUCCCGGGGCUCAACCUCGGAACUGCCUUUGAUACUGUAGAUCUCGAGUCCGGAAGAGGUGAGUGGAAUUCCUAGUGUAGAGGUGAAAUUCGUAGAUAUUAGGAAGAACACCAGUGGCGAAGGCGGCUCACUGGUCCGGUACUGACGCUGAGGUGCGAAAGCGUGGGGAGCAAACAGGAUUAGAUACCCCUGUAGUCCCUGAGCGGGCUGGCAAGGCGCAU
rnacentral:rRNA from 1 species